ACAAAGUUUAUAUUAGAGCAUCAUCCGUUAAUGCUUUGGCUAGGAGGGGGUCUAUCGCCCUGGUUGGAGUGCAGCAGUGUAAUCAUAGCUCACUGCUGCCAUGAACUUCUGGGCUCAAGCAAUCCUCCCACCUCAGCCUCCCUGUGUGCUGGGAUUAAAAGUAUGAGCCACCAUGCCUCAUUAUAAGGGUCUUAAAAGAGACCCUAUUUCAUACUUUCUUGAUGCACUUGAUAUGGAUUAUAUAAAUCUAUAGACAAAAAUGACGUCAGUACAAUGGUGAUAUUGGAGUUUUCUACCAUAACAUCUGCAUAGUGCACUGAUUUUGACAAUCACCUGUGGAUGACAAUACAUUUGCCAGAGUCUAGGAGUUAAAUGGAAAAGUUAACAGCGCACCAUUGGAGAAAAAUAUCUGGCAGUAGAUGCAUUCAAUGGAGUAAGAAGAACAAUUACCUGCAUCACCUCACCCCCAGGGUCCACUUCUUAGUGCUGAGAUAGACUCCCUUCAGCAGGCAAUUUCUCUCAUGGGGAAAAGGAGAGUAUAAUGAGUGAGUACCCAGCUUUUCCAGCUGUGUGAGGCACAUC
rnacentral:lncRNA from 1 species